AGAGAGCCGGAAGUGAGGGAGCUGGGAGCUGGGUCUCGGGAGGUGCUGUGCGGACCCGGGGUCGACCUCUGCCCAGUUGCCAGUCCCGCUGUCAGCAUGCGGGUCCGAGGAAGAGGCCCCCAGCAGGUCCAGGGCUGCAGCGUCAGCGCGUCGGUGGCUUGGGAGCGGGGUCUUGAAGACUGGUUACUCCACUUAAAGACCCUCUCGGGCCGGAGCCUUGGCGGUCAGCCCAGAGCUGCUUCUCUCUGCCUGGAAACUGGGCCAUGGAGGGCAUUGUCUCUCACGGAUGUCUAAUUUUUUCGUGGUUGCACACCUGGGAUGGCGAUUCUGCUUUAAAAAGCAGAGAGUUAAAUCCUAAAGCAUCUAUUGGAGCAAUUAUAAAACAAAAAGGAGAAACUCCUGGAUUUGUUGCAGAAAAGAUCAACAGCCAUCUGCGUGGGCAACGGGGAAAAGAAGGACUAGUUUGGUAGGCAGCUUAGCUAGGAUUUGCCCGUGAUUAAGCGUAUAGAGUGUCUGCCAGCUGCACUUAUCAGAAAAAACCACAGCGCCCUCCUCCUUCUCAAGAUGGGUGCAGUUCCGAGGUUUGGAGCUUAUUACUCAGGCAAGACAGAACUUAUUACUGCCUAGCAUGGAAUAACGGAAGGAACAUUGGACUUAACAGAGAAAGUACCUAAUCCUUCAGGUGUGACAUAGCGUCUCCGGGUAGUCUCUCAUCAGUAAAAUGAGAAUAUAAAUAUCUGCCUUCACAACAAAGUUGUAUAUUAGGUGUGAAAGGUCUUAAUUCUCUAAGGCGCCAAUCAAAUGAGAUAUCAUUAAUUGUAAUAAUCCUGUUCAUUCACAGCUGCGUAAGAGGAACUAUUGUUGUACUGCUGUUUGCAGAAAAGAAGAUACCUCUGUACUUGUAAAUUAGGGUGUCUCACAUCUUCUGAAUCACUACACAGAAAUCAGUUCCAACAACAGCCAGGAACUCAGACCCUGAACUUACCUCUCCUCAUAUCAUUUUGUAUGUUUAAGAUAUGUAUGAAUCUAGAAUUUGUAAAUUAAGGG
rnacentral:lncRNA from 1 species